AAAACGGCCCUUUUGAGGGCCACCAAAUUAGUGUUCUCUCUUGUUU
rfam:Asian citrus Psyllid, Diaphorina citri - Florida Strain, whole genome shotgun sequence.